CGCCUCUGGCUGCAAACCCGCCGCACGGCCUCCUGGAGUGCGAUCCGUCUCCUGCUGCCGGCGCUGCUGCAAGGCCGCAGGACUGAGCACAUCAUGAUGCCUCACAUUAUGACAGCCCUCGCCGGUCCCCGGCUGGCCAUGGGGGAGGCCAACGGCUGGCUCCAGAGGCAGCAACGAGCUCACGCCAUGACAGCCGGGACGCUUAAAUCUGCCAUCCGGUGCCUGUCUCAGUUGAUUGCCUAUGUGGCCAUCGGCAGCGACAACCUGGGCCUCCAGGCGUGGCUGCCGCGCAUGCCGGGGCUUGGAGAAGAGGAAAAAGAAGCAACGCAAGGAGAAGAAGCAGAAGCACCA